GGAAUCUUCCACAAUGGGCGCAAGCCUGAUGGAGCAACACCGCGUGAGUGAAGAAGGGUUUCGGCUCGUAAAGCUCUGUUGUAAGAGAAGAACGUGUGUGAGAGUGGAAAGUUCACACAGUGACGGUAACUUACCAGAAAGGGACGGCUAACUACGUGCAG
rnacentral:rRNA from 1 species